UACGUAGGGUCCGAGCGUUGUCCGGAAUUAUUGGGCGUAAAGGGCGCGUAGGCGGCUUUGCAAGUGACGGGUGAAAUCCCUCGGCUUAACCGAGGAACUGCCUGUCAAACUGCAUGGCUUGAGACCGGGAGAGGUGAGUGGAAUUCCCAGUGUAGCGGUGAAAUGCGUAGAUAUUGGGAGGAACACCAGUGGCGAAGGCGGCUCACUGGACCGGUACUGACGCUGACGCGCGAAAGCGUGGGGAGCAAACAGGG
rnacentral:rRNA from 1 species